rnacentral:rRNA from 1 species
CUACGGGGGGCAGCAGUGGGGAAUAUUGGACAAUGGGGGAAACCCUGAUCCAGCAAUGCCGCGUGUGUGAAGGAGGCCUGCGGGUUGUAAAGCACUUUCGGUUGGGAGGACUGCUUCUAGCACUAAUAUUGUUGGAAGUUGACGUUACCUUCAGAAGAAGCACCGGCUAACUCCGUGCCAGCAGCCGCGGUAAUACGGAGGGUGCGAGCGUUAAUCGGAAUUACUGGGCGUAAAGCGCGCGUAGGCGGCGAGAUCAGUCGGGUGUGAAAGCCCCGGGCUUAACCUGGGAACUGCAUCCGAUACUGGCUAGCUUGAGUACAGGAGAGGAGAGUGGAAUUCCACAUGUAGCGGUGAAAUGCGUAGAUAUGUGGAGGAACACCAAUGGCGAAGGCAGCUCUCUGGCCUGAUACUGACGCUGAGGUGCGAAAGCGUGGGGAGCAAACAGGAUUAGAUACCCCGGUAGUC